CCUAACCCCCUACUCCGGCUGGCGAUUUCUUUAACACAAUUGUGUUACACAUUCUAAAUUUUUCUUAGAUUUUGCAUUGAUUGUUCAUGUUUGCCUUGUGAAAUCUGAAGAAGUUUUGUCUCUAGAUUCCGUUUAAUCCUUUAAAUUUGUACUUCUUCAUCAACCGGAAUCAUUUAACCGGCGGCGACACCUCACAUGGCUGCGACCUGGAUAUGGUCGAUUGGGAAAGAGUUUGGGGCUGAGUAACUUGAAGAGUUUGUUACCCUCUUUUCAUUGUAUUUCAAUGUAGCUCGCUGCAUUCCUU
rnacentral:lncRNA from 1 species